rnacentral:rRNA from 1 species
AUUGAACGCUGGCGGCAGGCCUAACACAUGCAAGUCGAGCGGACGAAGGGAGCUUGCUCCUGGAUUCAGCGGCGGACGGGUGAGUAAUGACUAGGAAUCUGCCUGGUAGAGGGGGCUAACGUCCGGAAACGGGCGCUAAUACCGCAUCCGUCCUGAGGGUGAAAGUGGGGGUUCUUCGGACCUCAAGCUAUCAGAUGAGCCUAGGUCGGAUUAGCUAGUUGGUGGGGUAAAGGCCUACCAAGGCGACGAUCCGUAACUGGUCUGAGAGGAUGAUCAGUCACACUGGAACUGAGACACGGUCCAGACUCCUACGGGAGGCAGCAGUGGGGAAUAUUGGACAAUGGGCGAAAGCCUGAUGCAGCCACGCCGCGUGUGUGAAGAAGGUCUUCGGAUUGUAAAGCACUUUAAGUUGGGAGGAAGGGCAGUAAGUUAAUACCUUGAUGUUUUGACGUUACCAACAGAAUAAGCACCGGCUAACUUCGUG